CUUUAUCUAAGAGAGACAGAUGAAUUUGCAUGAAAAUACAAACAACUUUUCUAAUUCUUUUAUCUUUCUCUCUCACCAUUUCUGCAGGCCUUUGUUUCGUGGAUUCACAGAGAUCCAGCAGCUGCAAAAGAUCUUUGAGGUAAUUGGAUUGCCGGGUGAGGAGGACUGGCCCAUAGAAAGCCCUGUCUGCUACAGCCCUGCCUGGGCUGAGAAAAAGCCUACAAAACAACUAUUGCCCAGUCUUGCCCAUGAGGAAAAUGACCUGCUGUCUCAAUUUUUGGCUUUCAAUCCAGUUCAUCGCAUCUCUGCCUGUAGAGCUUUGGCCCACCCUUUCCUGGCAGACUGCAACAGUGAAGAUGAAUGAGUGAAGAGGGCGGAGUCACAUGAUUAGACAGGCUCCUCCCACACAAUCGAGGGGUGCACCGAGUAUUUUAUUGUUAGUACUGUUAAUUUUUUUUUAUUUUUUAUUUUUUUAUAAUGGAGUAAAGAGCAACACCCUAACCUGUAGAUCACAAUUUGUAAUGUUUCUAAUGAAAAUGAAAAAGGUGCAAACAUUUUUGGUAGAAACUGACCUUUUUUGCUUGAACUGCUAUAAAGAAUCAAAUGCCCUUAAAAUAUCCAGCUGUUUUUGGAGCUCUCAGUCCUGUAUAUACCAUCACCUUGUUCAUGUGUUUACAAUGGUGAAGAAUGAGAAUUUGUCUUUUUCACAUACGACAAUUCUCUAAUAAUUACAUUUUUGUGUAUGUUGCAGCACAAUUGGUUGUCUAACAGGUAAGUUUAACAUUUCCAGUUAGUUUCAGCGUGCUACCUUAGAGGUUUUUUUUUUUUUGAAAAAGUUGACUUUUAGUGAUGUUUUUAUGCCUUGUUUUGUGUUUGUUUUGGCAUCAGUUGCAACUGUUAUUUUUAAUUGCAUGCACUGUCUUAAGUUCUGAGCAAAUUGUUUGCAGUUUUUAUGAUUUCUGUUCCUGAUGAAUUUGCAGUAAACACAAACUAGAGCCAACAGUGCCUGUUUGUUAUUAAAUGGGGUGAGAUUGAUAUUUAAACAUAGUUAUGACAUUAUGACCCUUCAAAUGAAUACAAUAAAUUACAUUUGUAAUUGAAUGCACAUUUGACUGUUUUCUUUGUACUGGAACUUCAGUAAUAAAACUGCAAUUUCAACAUUGUUUGUCACAAACAAUGUUUGCCUUUCUUCUUGAUCCCAAGUAAAGAAUUUCCGUUCAAUUAAUCUAAUGCAAUUAGUAAAGUGUCAAGACGACCACCGUGACAACAGUUAAGGAAGGUGGCCAGUGGGAGACAGUCAUGCCAAAGUAUAAUUGCAUGGGAUUUUUUAUAAUUUUUUUUUCCUAUUAGUCACAUGACCAUAAACGUGUUUAGUUCACAUGGAAUGACAUCUGCCAUUC
rnacentral:lncRNA from 1 species